rnacentral:rRNA from 1 species
GACGAACGCUGGCGGCGUGCUUAACACAUGCAAGUCGAACGGAAAGGCCCUGCUUGUGUGGGGUGCUCGAGUGGCGAACGGGUGAGUAACACGUGAGUAACCUGCCCUUGACUUUGGGAUAACUUCAGGAAACUGGGGCUAAUACCGGAUAGGAGCUCCUGCUGCAUGGUGGGGGUUGGAAAGUUUCGGCGGUUGGGGAUGGACUCGCGGCUUAUCAGCUUGUUGGGGGGGUAGUGGCUUAGCAAGUCUUUGACGGGUAGCCGGCCUGAGAGGGUGACCAGCCACAUUGGGACUGAGGUAGGGCCCAGACUGCUACGGGAGGCAGCAGUGGGGAAUAUUGCACAAUGGGCGGAAGCCUGAUGCAGCAAUGCCGCGUGUGGGAUGACGGCCUUCGGGUUGUAAACCGCUUUCGCCUGUGACGAAGCGUGAGUGACGGUAAUGGGUAAAGAAGCACCGGCUAACUACGUG